rnacentral:rRNA from 1 species
GACGAACGCUGGCGGCGUGCUUAACACAUGCAAGUCGAACGGAAAGGCCUGCUUUCCCUUGUGGAUUGCGGGUACUCGAGUGGCGAACGGGUGAGUAACACGUGAGUGAUCUGCCCCCAACUUGGGUAUAAGCCUGGGAAACUGGGUCUAAUUCCCGAUAGGACUGCAGGGUGGUGCCCGCGGUGGCAAACGAUUUUCUAGUGGUUGGGGAUGAGCUCGCGGCCUAUCAGCUUGUUGGUGGGGUAAUGGCCUACCAAGGCGGCGACGGGUAGCCGGCCUGGGAGGGUGGACGGCCACAUUGGGACUGAGAUACGGCCCAGACUCCUACGGGAGGCAGCAGUGGGGAAUGUGGGACAAUGGGCGGAAGCCUGAUGCAGCGACGCCGCGUGGGGGAUGACGGCCUUCGGGUUGUAAACUUCUUUCGACCGCGAGGAAGCCACCUGGUUGGAAGGGUGGUGACGGUAGUGGUAGAAGAAGCACCGGCUAACUACGUG